rnacentral:lncRNA from 1 species
UCUACUUUUGUCCCUUUUUUUUUUUGCCUAUUUUGGUAGCUUUGGUAGCAUUUUCCGUUAUUUCUCCGCAUCUUAUCUCUCUCUUCAAUUUAUAUAAUUUUUUUUCUUUAAAUUCUUUAAAUCAUGAGCUAUAAUAUUUUAUUUUUAAAUUUUUAUUUUUUUUAUUUAUCUUUUUGAGUGAUGGGCUGAUAUGUGCCUAUCAAAUUUUUCUGCUUAAAAAUUUUUUGUGCAGUCCGGCUCCGUGUGUGAGCCAAUCACUAUGCAUGG